UUUUUUUUUUUUUUUUAAAGAGAAGAUGUAUAAUUACAGGAAAGAUUUUUUAUUUUUUUAUUUUCUAUCAUUCUACAUAUAUGAUGGCAGAAGAUACGUGUGGAAAAGUUUUGUUUUGAAAAUUUUGAAAUUUAUUUUCUGCUUCGGCGAAAGCUCCUCUUUAGUUUCUAAUUUCUUCCUUUUCUUUUCUUUUUUUUUUUUUUUCCUUUGUCAAAUAGUUAAAGGUAUGCAAGCAAAUUAUCUCCCAGAGUAGGAGAUUUUCCUGUUUAGAGGAUCUCUUGUGUGAAUUGUUUCAUCAAGCAAAUAACCCUUUCUCUACUUUAGGAGUUUGGAUUGUCAAGUAUAGGUUUCCUUAAUUAAGGGGGCACAUAACUGUACAUAUUGCUAUAAAGAACUAUGACUGUAGCACUAAUGAGCAAGCAUAGAGCCACACACAGUUAUUUAAUUUCUAAAGCUCUGUGGUUUCUGGCCAAAUUCCAUUGGCAUGCUUAGGUUACAGUCCUGAAGAUACCCGUGGUACCCUUAACUUGAAAGAUUCUAAUCUUAGGUUUUUUGAAAUGCAAUAAUAUGUAUUAGCUAGCAAUAUUUUCUGUGAUCACCAGCAACUCCUAAUUUAACCUCGAAGUCUCUGAAUAAUGAAAAUAGAUCCCAGCAGUAAUACAUUUCUUGAACUGCCCCCCAACUACAUUACAUAGCUUCUCAUUUUGGUCCUGUGUUUGCAACAGCUACACGUGAAUAUUACAAUGCCUCACUUACUUUUGUAUUCAUGUGUUUUACUAUGACCAGUAAUAAAUAUAUUAGUUAGUACAUGGAAUGAAUAGCAACUACCCCUAGAGUCAGCACUUAACAAGUUGGGGAAUUUCUAUUUCAAGUUGUUCUACACUUGCAUAAAUUAUUUCUAUUGUUAUUCAUGUAUGUUAUUUAUUUCUGAAUCACACUAGUCCUGUGAAAGUACAACUGAAAGGAGAUGGCAUUAGGGUUUGCAUUUAGUGUUUAUUAUCAUGGUCUUGAUGGAGCUAAGUAAAUUAAAAUUAGACUAAGCCCCCAGAUAAGCUGCAUGCAUUUUAACAUGAUGGGUAGAAUUUAAGUCUGUAGGUGUAGUAUUUUUGUGUCUAGGUGUUUUAUCAUUACCUAAAGAAAUUAAAGCAAAGGACUAUGUAGUUCUUUUGUCAAGUAUGCAUAUAGUAUAGUGUGAAAAUACAGCAAAAAUUAAAACCAGAUAGAAAAGCAUCAGAAUCUGCCUUAAUUUAGGAACUCCGCCAGACGGCCGCCAGAGUAGAUGCCAGGCAGAGACAGGUGCCUGGGUGGCGCCUCCUCUUAUCUGGCCUUGAGAAGAAGCUUCCUUCCUGCGAUCUUGUGCCUUCAUAGGUGUCAUGUGCAGUAGUGGGAACAGGUCGUACUGUUGCAAGAACAGGGUGAGAGUUUUCUGUAGAAGCAAACUGUCAGCUUGUGCCUUGGGGCUUCCAGAAUGUGUGAGAUGGAGAAAUUCAAGUUUCUGUGCUUCAAGCAACUGAGUUUUGUACAGAAGCAAUUCAAUCUGGUAAUAAAAACAAAGAUUGCAUGUACAGUACUCAACAAUGGCUUUUAACAACCAACAGUUCCCAACACCUCAGAAGCUUGUUGCAUUUCUGGUAUUUUAGGUUUUGAUAUGAAGGCUAAUUGGCAAGUGUUUGGUAUAGAAGAACAGUAUGUGUUAAGAAAAGCACAAUAUUGGUUCCCAUAGAGUGCAAAUUAGAACUAGAGGGUUUUAUGAGAUUUUCAUGUCAGAGAUGUGUAAAUGCAUGUUCUCACUGUAGAAUGUAUUAGUGUAGUGUUUCUGCAUUCCCAUAGGGCUUAGUUAAAACUUUAUUCUAGGUUUUCAGCAAGGCUGUCAUACCCAGUAAGCUUUUUCGUUCGUUUGUUUUGGGGACUUACUCUUAUAAUAGAAAAUGUGUUAAACGUAGAAAAAAAAUCGUAACUUGGACAUUUGACUUGUUGGUUUCUGUGUUUGAAAUCACGGUUCUGGAGAUGUAGAGACUGUGCGUGUGCAUGUCAGAUACUAAUCUAGGCUGUGUGAACCAGCCGAGAUCACCAAUGUCCUCCCAUCCUCUGUAUCCUGUCUCCAUCCAGGCCCGUCUGCGUGGUGCUCUUUAUCCUCCUGGCCGCCCUUUGGCCGUUGGGGCCAGGUGAGAGAGAUGCUGUAGGCAUCACAGGUGUGCCUGCUCAGGCUUGGCCGCCACUUCUACUUGACCUUUGGCUGGGCACAGAGUGUGCCCGCAACACCAAUCACAAAUGCCCUCUAGCCUGUUCGUGUGCAUCUUGAUUUUAAAACCAAGUCUUUCUACGGAGCAUUCAAUUUUCGGCUGUGGUACAAAGAGAAAAACUAAACAAGCCUAAAAUCCACAUUCCAGGCUGCUGUUUUCUAUCCAUCCACAGGCCAUAGUUUUACUGUAUUUCUUCAUACUUGAAACUCAUUCUGCUAUUUUAAUAUCAGGGUACAGACAUAUAAGGGUGCAUGUUCCUUAA
rnacentral:lncRNA from 1 species